rnacentral:lncRNA from 1 species
CAGGAGUCUUGGGGCCCAGGCCUGGGGAGCGCAAGACCGAGGCCACAGCAAAGGGAGUCUCUCCAGCGCCAGAGCCCCGGGCUUUAGGAUGACCUCAGGGCUGAUGGCUGCGGCAAGAGGAGGCACUUCUCGAGAGACUAGGCAUAAUAUACACAUAAGCAAAAAAAAAAAAAAAAAGAAGAAGAAGCGAGAGGGGGAAAGGAGGCCCAGCGAAGGCGGUAAAUGCAGCCCUAAUGCACAGAUAGCUGACAUCAACUUCCGUUAGCCAGCUCCUCGGGAUCGAACCUUUCGAUUGUAACUGGGACAAUUUGCAUAGUGAUUCCCUUUCAUAGCUUUCCCAGGUCCUUAACAAGCCCAGGCAGCUAUUCAAAUGCAAGGCUAGGCUGACCAAAAAAGAGCUACCCUACGACCAAGGAGAGAAGACAAAACCCCCGAUAAUCAUGAUUAUUUUUUCUUUUCUCUCUUUUCUCUUCUUUCUCUCUUUUCCUCCCUGUCCUUUUUCUCUCUCUUUUCUCUUUCAGAUUUAGCUGCGAGCUGUUUAUUUAUGGCUGGAAAUGUGUGUGUGAGAGAAAGAAUUGAUCUUUCCCCGAAUUUAAAGAUGGAGCAAAGGGCGCUGGAGGGAAUUUUUGUUUGCUUAUUUUGCUUAGACCCAGCUCACAAAUUGGGGGUGAUGGGGGAGGGAGAUGUCUGUUCCUCCCUCCACCCUUCACCUCACGACCUUCCUGGACCCCGAACCCCUGAGCAGCCUGGGCGGACCCGGACCCCGGAGGACUUGUCCAGCGGUCUGUUGCCUCGCCUGCUCCGAAGUGGGCUGCAGAAGAGGGCUUCACAGAGGGGGCCACCCCGACCCUUCUCUUUAAAGGAGUCCAAUAAAAGGGGGCAAUCCUAG